GACGAACGCUGGCGGCGUGCUUAACACAUGCCAGUCGAACGCUGAAGCUUGGUGCUUGCACUGGGUGGAUGAGUGGCGAACGGGUGAGUAAUACGUGAGUAACCUGCCCUUGACUCUGGGAUAAGCCUGGGAAACUGGGUCUAAUACUGGAUACGACAUGUCACCGCAUGGUGGUGUGUGGAUAGGGUUUUACUGGUUUUGGAUGGGCUCACGGCCUAUCAGCUUGUUGGUGGGGUAAUGGCUCACCAAGGCGACGACGGGUAGCCGGCCUGAGAGGGUGACCGGCCACACUGGGACUGAGACACGGCCCAGACUCCUACGGGAGGCAGCAGUGGGGAAUAUUGCACAAUGGGCGAAAGCCUGAUGCAGCGACGCCGCGUGAGGGAUGACGGCCUUCGGGUUGUAAACCUCUUUCAGCACGGAAGAAGCGAAAGUGACGGUACGUGCAGAAGAAGCGCCGGCUAACUACGUG
rnacentral:rRNA from 1 species